UGCUAUUCUUGCUGCUACUACUACUAAUUCUAUCACUAGUACUAUUAAUGAUUUUAAUUUUGUUAACAGAAUAGUUGACAAGAUCACAAGGAGCAAGAAACUGAGGAGAUCGAGUAAUAAGGAAUCAAUGGAAAUAAAUGACGGCCCUGUUUUCCUUCCUUGUGAAGAGUGUGGCAGCUUCUCUGAGUCAUGACAUACACCCACAAAGGCUAAUCAACAGGUGAGUACAGAAAAUAUUUAUCACUCAUUACAAUUAGCUGGAAAAGUGGGACUUUUCCAUCUGGGAACAAAGCAUCUUCGUUUUCACUUUGCACUUACUGAAUCCCUCCACGUCCACAUUUUUUUAUAAAAUGUAAUAACUGC
rnacentral:lncRNA from 1 species